rnacentral:rRNA from 1 species
UACGUAGGGGGCUAGCGUUGUCCGGAAUCAUUGGGCGUAAAGAGCGUGUAGGCGGCCCGGUAAGUCCGCUGUGAAAGUCGGGGGCUCAACCCUCGAAUGCCGGUGGAUACUGUCGGGCUAGAGUGCGGAAGAGGCGAGUGGAAUUCCUGGUGUAGCGGUGAAAUGCGCAGAUAUCAGGAGGAACACCGAUGGCGAAGGCAGGUCUCUGGGCCUCUACUGACGCUGAGAAGCGAAAGCAUGGGGAGCGAACAGG